rnacentral:tRNA from 1 species
UAAGGCGCCAGUUUAAGGCACUGGUCCGAAAGGGCGUGGGUUCGAAUCCCACAUUGGCCA